rnacentral:ncRNA from 1 species
UUAAUAACGAUGAGAGGGACUAGUAAAAAAAGAAUGGCAUUUAGAGAGUUGACGGCUGGUGCAAGUCAACCCGGACUUUUUUGAACUCACCCUUUAGUUGCAAGUGUGAAUAAAGUAAUACUUGCCGUCCCGCCGCGUUAAGGUUAGUUUGAGUGAACGUGAUUUUUGCGUUAAUCAGGGUGGUACCGCGGCAGGUUUAAAAUUGUGAUCUAACCUUUCGUCCCUAAU